rnacentral:rRNA from 1 species
CCUACGGGGGGCAGCAGUGGGGAAUAUUGGGCAAUGGGCGCAAGCCUGACCCAGCAACGCCGCGUGAAGGAAGAAGGCUUUCGGGUUGUACACUUCUUUUCUCAGGGACGAAGCAAGUGACGGUACCCGAGGAAUAAGCCACGGCUAACGACGUGCCAGCAGCCGCGGUAAUACGUAGGUGGAAAGCGUUAUCCGGAUUUACUGGGUGUAAAGGGCGUGUAGGCGGGGACGCAAGUCAGAUGUGAAAACCACGGGCUCAACCUGUGGCCUGCAUUUGAAACUGUGUUUCUAGAGUACUGGAGAGGCAGACGGAAUUCCUAGUGUAGCGGUGAAAUGCGUAGAUAUUAGGAGGAACACCAGUGGCGAAGGCGGUCUGCUGGACAGCAACUGACGCUGAGGCGCAAAAGCGUGGGGAGCAAACAGGAUUAGAUACCCUUGUAGUC